rnacentral:rRNA from 1 species
UACGUAGGUGGCAAGCGUUGUCCGGAAUUAUUGGGCGUAAAGCGCGCGCAGGCGGUCCCUUAAGUCUGAUGUGAAAUCCCACGGCUCAACCGUGGAAGGUCAUUGGAAACUGGGGGACUUGAGUACAGAAGAGGAAAGCGGAAUUCCAAGUGUAGCGGUGAAAUGCGUAGAGAUUUGGAGGAACACCAGUGGCGAAGGCGGAGCUUUCUGUCUGUAACUGACGCUGAGGCGCGAAAGCGUGGGGAGCAAACAGGGAUUAAGAAACCCUGAGUA